CAGGCAAUCAAUCACAAUACCAAACACUCAUUUACAAACAAAAAGGGUUUGAAUACAACACUGGACCGUCUACAAAAUAGACCAGCUCGAUAAAAUGGGAACUAUCCUAAACCCAACUAGCAGGACACGUUCACCAAUACUUCAGUCUCCACCUUUCCAGACUUAGGGCUCCGGGUCCUCCACGACCGCCAUCUAGGGACCUGAAAUUUUAAUCCCACAACUGGGAUGAGACGAUGUCUCAGCAAGUUCAACCCCCUAAACCCCUAUUAGAAAGAAAAUACACCCCGGGUGGCCUAGCCACAUCACACAUAAGACUUACCUCGCCUCAGUUCCUUCCUGCAAAUUAGCGCAAUUCAAAUCACUCAAUCACAGAUAGUAAGAGAGACUUAAACAACCGGAACGCAAUCACUUUCAUAUAACCAACAACCGCGGGGGUCCUGAUUAUAAGACUAAAUCGUUAUGACACGUCCCAUAAUCCGACACAUCAACAACACUCAACAUGCAUUCCAAUUGUUAUUCACUGCCACACAAGGGCAUAGCCUACUCGCUGUUCGGCUAUCUACUGGCAUAUAGCCAGGCAUCGCCUCCCCACCUUGGAGCGCGGCUUCGUCAGUACAUCGACGGCGUUCCCGAAGGAGCAUGGGUCCAGAAUCAACUGCGACCCGCAACCACUGCGUGGGCAUCCCAUAUAGGGGCAAGUUCGGCUCAACAACCCAGGACGAUUCCUCUUAGUUCUCACACAGCCAAAGCAUACUCAACCCCAUGACACUUUAUAUUUCAAUCAAUGCUUCCACUUAAAAUAGUGAUCCCGGCCAUUUUUCUUCACAUUAAAAAUAUCCCAGAAAUUACUCACGUGUGUGGGGACACGCUAAUUUCAAAUCAAAAAGCCAAUAUCUCACUUUUUCAAACCCCACUAUUUAAUAUAAUCAUUAAAAUCCAAUUUUUGCAUCAAAGCCCGACACUUGGGUUUUUAUCAAUAAAAUCUCCAUUUACCACCAUCAACACUCAAUUUGCCACAUACAUUCAUCAAAUUCAAAUUCUAAAUGCACAUCAGCGAUCAUCACGAAAUUCUGAGAAUUUAGGGUCCCAAAAUAAUUUUUCGGAAUUUAUUAAAUAAUUAAAUUUAUUCCGAAAAUUAAUAUAAUAAUAAUAUCCAUAUUUUUCACGAUCCACACUCAAUUUAUAAUAUCCAAUCAUCAAUUUCAAAAUCCGACUACACAGCAGCGACCGGCACGAAAUUCUGAGAAUUUAGGGUCCCGACAAAUUUUUCGGAAUUUAAUAAAUAAUUAAAUUUAUUCCGAAAAUAAUUAAAUAAUAAUAUUUUAAUAAUUUCGAAUAAUGAUAUAUUAUUAAAUUAUUAAAUAAUUUCGAAAUAUUUAAAUAAAUCAAAAGUAAAUUCCUUUAUGUCACAUCAAGGCUUAUAUUAAUAUAAACCUUCAUUUAGCCUUAAAUUAAACUCACUUUAAGCUAAUUAAACACAUUAAUAUAAUCCACACUUAAAUAAAUUAAACUAACCACCUAAUCACAAUUAACAUAAACUAAGCACACCUAAAGCAUAAUUAACCCUCUAAGCGAUGUUUAGUGAGUUAAACUCACCGGAUUAGCGAGCCGAGCGGACCAAAACGACGAGGACGCCGAGGAGAACAACUUUCCUCAAAGCGGGCCGAGCAUCUGGGCUUGGGAAGGUGGCCAAAACGGGCCAAGACUUAGCUGCCAUACCCAUUUUCUUGGUUGCUGUCCAUGGCGAUUUGAGGCCGAGGAAGGGUAGAUUCGGCGCUGGUUCAGGCGGAGGAACGGCGGAGGAGACCGGCGAGGGCUUGGACGGGCCGAAGGGGAGGUCGACGGCGG
rnacentral:lncRNA from 1 species